AUACGUAGGGGGCGAGCGUUGUCCGGAAUGAUUGGGCGUAAAGGGCGCGUAGGCGGCCCGGUAAGUCUGGAGUGAAAGUCCUGCUUUUAAGGUGGGAAUUGCUUUGGAUACUGUCGGGCUUGAGUGCAGGAGAGGUAAGUGGAAUUUCCAGUGUAGCGGUGAAAUGCGUAGAGAUUGGGAGGAACACCAGUGGCGAAGGCGACUUACUGGACUGUAACUGACGCUGAGGCGCGAAAGUGUGGGGAGCAAACAGGAUUAGAUACCCUGGUAGUCCACACUGUAAACGAUGAAUGCUAGGUGUAGGGGGUAUCGACCCCUUCUGUGCCGCAGUUAACACAAUAAGCAUUCCGCCUGGGGAGUACGGCCGCAAGGUUGAAACUCAAAGGAAUUGACGGGG
rnacentral:rRNA from 1 species